GAAUGGAUUUCGAGGAACUCAAAUGAUUUACGAAAGGUUUAUACUAAACAUACCGGUUUUUACAAAACAAAUGCUUAUUUUCGAAAUAUGAAUGAUUUUUCAUAACUAAGGAGUCAGUCAGGGUGGCUGGGAAGGUUCAGUCAGGGUGGCUGGGAAAGUUCAGUCAGGGGUGGCUGGGGAGGCUCAGCCAGGGUGGCUGAGGUGGAAUAUAUGUUACAGAACAACAUGGGGCCAUUAGUCCUCAUGGAGGGACCGAGGGACAGGAGCGGUAGAUCUAUCUGGGUGUAGCGAGCCCAGCCCCCGGCCAAACUAGAAACGGACCGUGGGGUGACUUUGUCCACAUACUUUGCCGUGGCGAAAUCUGCUAGGUUUGAGUCUCCCUAUUUGCACUUCACAUAUGUCAGUGGCCUUGCAAACCAUUGGUGAUCACAAGUCCUCUUACACUGCUACAUACCAGGGAUUUUAUACUUACGGAAACUUUUAGUUCAUACAAAUUAACUACCAUGUUUUAUACAAAUCCAAAGAAUUAUGGGGGUAUAGAGUCAAGGUCAGGGUGGGCAUUGACGGUUAU
rnacentral:lncRNA from 1 species